UGUGUGUGUCCUUGUGUGUGUGUAUCCAUGUGUAUGUGUCUCUCCGUGUGUGUGUGUCUGUCCCUGUGUGUAUGUGUGUGUGUCACCAUCACCAUGCCAACAAUGUUCCUAUGCCUUGACCCAGCUGCAUCAGGAUGUUCUGUGCAGGGCAAGAAGAAGAAGGAAGAAGAGGAGGCAGCGCCGCCAGCAUGGAGUCCGUGGAAGAGGCACAGGGAGGCACACUAAAGAACGCAUGUUGCAGCUGGGCUAUGACCGGACCCGGGUCCAAGAAGAGAAAAAGCAAAUUGUGAGGGAAAUAUAGAGGCAGCUAAAGAGGGAUCUUAAGGGGAAGCACACUUUGAUGGCGAUCAUCAAACAUUGGUUGGAUCUAAAGAGGAGGCACAUCGGGUGGAUCAGUGAGAUCCGUGACAGGAAAUGCCCAGGUGUUCCCGUUCCCUCCGUCCACCGCAGGCCUUCCACAGAGGAUCUGGAGGUAGUGGUGGUGUCUGCGGAGGAGGAGGAGGGAGAGCAGGCAGGACCCUCCCAGCAGCAUGAUGCCAACCCCCACCGGAUGUGGGCAAAGUGGUGGAGGUGGACGCUGAAGAAGCCGGACCCUCCCAGGACCCGGUUUCCUCCCCUGCCACAGGUCCUGAUGAGGAGUCACCAGCCCCUGCCAGGAGGUACAAAUUCAAUGAUAGAAACAAACUAAGGCUGUUACAACAGGAGCACCUAAAAUCAAUGCAGUAACUCCAGGAGCAACAGAGGAAGCAGCAGAUGAUUUUUUGACAGAAAGGUGCAGCAGAUAGAGGAGCAACACUGUCAGAGAAUCCAGGAGCUUUUGAACCUUCAAGACAAACUUAAGAAAUUGCCAUAGAGGCAUAUUUGUUUCCC